rnacentral:rRNA from 1 species
UACGUAGGGUGCGAGCGUUGUCCGGAAUUAUUGGGCGUAAAGGGCUCGUAGGCGGUUUGUCGCGUCGGGAGUGAAACACCGGGCUUAACUCGGUGCUUGCUUUCGAUACGGGCAGACUAGAGGUAUGCAGGGGAGAACGGAAUUCCUGGUGUAGCGGUGAAAUGCGCAGAUAUCAGGAGGAACACCGGUGGCGAAGGCGGUUCUCUGGGCAUUACCUGACGCUGAGGAGCGAAAGUGUGGGGAGCGAACAGG